UCCCGGCAAGAAAUUGGCUCAUUCCACGAGAAGUACGCGUGAAACAGUUGUUUCCAAAAGGCUGGAUAAUAGAGCAAUAUUUCGUGACAUUUCCACGAGAUCCCAAGAAAGCUCACAUGAGGCUAGAAAGGUCACAAGUGAUUACAUGCGAAACUCUGCUUCAAAGUGCAUUCUGCGCUGAAGGCUGCAAUUUUGGACUAAUUUUGGAGAUGUAUUGAACGAUGGCCAACAUGCACGAGUAUGUAUAAUUACCGAAUAUGGGCCAAGCCGUUAAAUGAGUUCUUCGAGCAAAUGAUUUCUCGUCAAGUGAUAUCAUCUCAACACUUACUUGACCUGGGAAAGAAAUUGAGAGGAUCCGAGCUCCCCGGUAUGUGGUUGGGUGGGGUUAUGGAGCGGUCGUCGGCACAUAAUGGCGUUAUUGUCUGGGCCGAUUGAUAAAUCCAAGCAAUUUUGGCAAUUUGUCAAGAUAUUCACUUAAGGCUUCAGAGGAGAAGAAGUCUGGGCCAAUUUUCCCACCGGGGUUCUUUUUCUGGUGGAGGAUGGCUGAGAACCCCAUGAUCUAAUUAGACACUCUGAGACUUUGUUGUUUGAGUGGGAAAUACCAAUAUUCGACACUUAGACUGAUUAUCCAAACCAAAGCUGAGCCAAGCAUCCCGCAACCAUCCUCAGGAGAGGAAGAUGUGCUACCCAGAAAAGUGGAAUGGAUUCCACGCUCCCAAUUCAGUUGCCAAUGAACUCAAAUCAGGGAAGUUAAACGCUGGCGAUGGUUUCGAGUGGUCGUUUUUUAGGUGUGUUUGGUAGCUCUUUCUAACUUGGUUGCUUUCAUGCUGUGAUGCCACUCAGAAAUGGAACCACUUCAACCAAUUCAAAGCCUCAGACUCAAGACUUGCACUAGUUUUCAUGCAGCAUUUAAUGGUAUGACUUGUCAUUUCUAGACAAGAAAACUGUGUGAAGCCAAUGAAAAAAACCUAUUUAGAACAACCAACUCACUCACUUUUGUGAACUAUUGCUCAUCCGAUUGGCUACUAGGCACUUUUUAAAAUGCUCAGGGAACAAUCAAUAUUUUUUAUGAACGUUUUCAUGGUGUACCAAACUAGCAGAACACACAACCAUGCAUAUAAACUGACAACACUAAUCGGGGUUCUUUUUUCGCAGUGGAUGAUGGACCGAUUUAGCAUGACCUACAGUUCUGACAGAUCCAAACUCUUUCUAUUCACAUUUAACUCAAAUAGACAAAUGAUCCAGACCUUUUCUCCUCCGAUCCCCUGCAUUAUGCUCACCUACCUGCGGCAGUACCGUACGUAGUCCGGUAGUCAUUACGUACCACAUACAUACACACAUGUAGUGUAAGUACAUUGCUCGGAAUCCCUGAAGGAGCCAAAGCCAGUCAAAAGUGUCUGGAAACGUCAGACAAUUAAUUUGACAUUCAAUCCUGGAUUUGAAUUCAAUUCAGUCACACUCUGUCAGGCAUCAAAGCAUAUCAGAUCACCAAGCUCUCCAAAGUGAACGUAUUCAAAUACUGAUACUGGCAUGAGUUCUGAGCUCUCGGUUCAAAAGCCUUCCAAUUUGGCAAUGUUUUAUGACUGGCAAACCGAUCCAAUCAGUCGAUGUUGUUGUGCAUGCUCGCGGUUUUGAGCCAAUGAUUUCUGCGGGUUGGAUGUCAGAAUUCCGACUUUGCGUAUAUG